rnacentral:rRNA from 1 species
GACGAACGCUGGCGGCAUGCCUAACACAUGCAAGUCGAGCGAGCUGAUUCCUUCGCGAUGAAGCUAGCGGCGGACGGGUGAGUAACACGCUCGCAACCUGCACCAUAGAGGGGAAUAGCCUUCCGAAAGGAAGAUUAAUACCGCAUAAGAUUGCAUCGUCGCAUGAAGAACCAAUGAAAGGAGCAAUCCGCUAUGAGAUGGGUCCGCGGCGGAUUAGCUAGUUGGCGAGGGAACCGCUCGCCAAGGCGAGGACGCGUAGCCGACCUGAGAGGGUGAUCGGCCACAUUGGGACUGAGCCACGGCCCAGACUACUACGGGAGGCAGCGGUGGGGAAUAUGGCACAAUGGGGGAAACCCUGAUGCAGCAAUGCCGCGUGAGUGAUGACGGCCUUCGGGUUGUAAAGCUCUGUCUUCGGGGAAGAUAAUGACGGUACCCGAGGAGGAAGCCACGGCUAACUACUUGCCAGCCGCCGCAGUAA